GUUUCAAGCUUCAAAUACCUGGCAGUCUAUGAGUGUGCCACGUACCGUAUAUCAUUUCAGAAAUCAACACCAUCCUUUAUAAAAGAGCCAAACAACACCCAUUUUAUUUCCUCUCUGGGAUUGAAGUUAGUACACUUGCGGGACUUCUUCGCCUGGACUCGAUUGUAUUGGAUUUGCUAAUGUACAAUAUGGGACCAAGACUGUUGUUUUUGCUGGUUCUCACCCUGCUUAUAUUUACUGAUCACAGCCAAGGUGUUCCUAAGACACAUGAACAAUCCUUGGAUGUCAGCAGAUUCCCGGAUGCCCCUGUUUUUGAACCACUGACUAUUGCAAAUCCAAUCAACAUCCCAAGACAGCACACCAGACCUUGCAACUGUAAAGGAAAAGAGAUGAAAACACUCUGCCUUUGUCAGCAGUCUGGCAGACGCACAAGUAGGAAUGGAAAAUGGAAGAGUCAGUGCCAGAACAAGAAAAACAAGAAUCUGAAGAAGUGCAGAAAGCUUUCCAAACCGAUCAAGGGCAGCAAAACCAGGAACUUGGGUCCCAGUGUCCCGAUAUGAACAACAAGGAAGAAGUUCUAUAAUAAACAUUUACACAAUUAUCGCUAACAUGCAUCUUUCUCUUUAUUGUACUUUUUGUAAAACAGCAGUUGCUUUUUGACAAUGUUUGCAUGACUGUAGCUUCCUGAAUAAGCACAAUGUAUCCUCUUCAAUAAAGUCCCAACAAAAUUGA